GGCUUCCUAGCUCAGCCGACAGAGUGCUUGCCGUUUUUUUUGGGAAUUCUGUUGCUGGUUCGAACCCAGCCGAAGCCC